GACGAACGCUGGCGGCGUGCUUAACACAUGCAAGUCGAACGGAAAGGCCCUGCUUUUGUGGGGUGCUCGAGUGGCGAACGGGUGAGUAACACGUGAGUAACCUGCCCUUGACUUUGGGAUAACUUCAGGAAACUGGGGCUAAUACCGUAUAGGAGCUCCUGCUGCAUUGUGGGGGUUGGAAAGUUUCGGCGGUUGGGGAUGGACUCGCGGCUUAUCAGCUUGUUGGUGGGGUAGUGGCUUACCAAGGCUUUGACGGGUAGCCGGCCUGAGAGGGUGACCGGCCACAUUGGGACUGAGAUACGGACCAGACUCCUACGGGAGGCAGCAGUGGGGAAUAUUGCACAAUGGGCGGAAGCCUGAUGCAGCAACGCCGCGUGCGGGAUGACGGCCUUCGGGUUGUAAACCGCUUUCGCCUGUGACGAAGCGUGAGUGACGGUAAUGGGUAAAGAAGCACCGGCUAACUACGUG
rnacentral:rRNA from 1 species